rnacentral:rRNA from 1 species
GACGUAGGGCGCGAGCGUUGUCCGGAUUUAUUGGGCGUAAAGAGCUCGUAGGCGGUUUGUUGCGUCAGCUGUGAAAACCCGCAGCUCAACUGUGGGCUUGCAGCUGAUACGGGCAGGCUUGAGUUCGGUAGGGGAGACUGGAAUUCCUGGUGUAGCGGUGAAAUGCGCAGAUAUCAGGAGGAACACCGGUGGCGAAGGCGGGUCUCUGGGCCGAUACUGACGCUGAGGAGCGAAAGCGUGGGGAGCGAACAGG